rnacentral:rRNA from 1 species
CGUGCUGGCUCCAGCGGGGGCUUAACAGCUUGCUCUUAGGAACUUACCGGCGGACGGGUGAGUAACACGUGGGUAACGUGCCCAUACGACUGGGCUAACUCCGGGAAAUCGGGGCUAAUACCGGAUAACAUUUUGAAGUGCAUGGUUCGAAAUUGAAAGGCGGAUUCGGCUGUCGCUUAUGGAUGGACCCUCCUCCCAUUAGCUAUGUGGUGAUGUAAC